rnacentral:rRNA from 1 species
UUCUGGUUGAUCCCGCCGGAGGUCACUGCUAUUGGGAUUCGACUAAGCCAUGCGAGUCGAGAGGGUUCGGCCCUCGGCUGACGGCUCAGUAACACGUGGAUAAUCUACCCUAAGGUGGAGGAUAACCUCGGGAAACUGAGAAUAAUACUCCAUAAGUCCAGGAUACUGGAAUGUACUUAGGCUGAAAACUUCGGUGCCUUAGGAUGAGUCUGCGGACUAUCAGGUUGUAGUCAGGGUAAAGACCUGACUAGCCUACAACGGAUACGGGUUGUGAGAGCAAUAACCNCGGAGAUGAUAUCUGAGACACGAUAUCAGGCCCUACGGGGCGCAGCAGGCGCGAAAACUUCACACUGCGCGAAAGCGCGAUGAGGGAAUCCCAAGUGCUUGCACGUAAGUGUAA